CUGGGACACACUGGUGGUGUUCGUACCAUGGUACAAGUUGUCAAGAAAAUUAUUCCAAGGCUAUCUUGAAUGAAGACAAUUAUCAGUAUGAAACUCAUUUCAAGAUAAUUGUACCAUGGUACAAAUACCACCAGUCUGUCCAAGGUUUUAGAGUAGUUUUCAACGAGCGUGUAUAGUCUAUUUUAUGAGGCUAGUCAAACGACAGAAGUACGCGCUCUGAUGUUUACGUUUUCAAUCAUCAUCUGGUUGAUGAUGGUUAAUGACUGCGCGCAAGUCAAGCGUAGUUUUUGAAACUGGCUAAAACCAUAAUAAGAAAUUUUUAUUUAUUUUUUUUUUUCGCUAGUUAACGAGUGAAUCGCGACGAAAAAAAAUACCUGAUUAAAUAUUGAGUUUUGUAUUGCUUCUGCUGGCAGCUUUCGAGCCUAUUUCGGCUCAAAUUUCUCAUAUCUCCAUUUUGUCGAACAAGUAUACGAAAAUAAAAAUCAUUAUUGAAUGUAUAAGAAAAUGUUAUACAUUUUUGCCAUUUCGUUUAUGUUAUAUACCAUAUAAACUAUUGUAAUGUAUAACAUAAGAACGAGGCAAUAAAAAGUAUAAGUUUGGCUUAAUACGAACAAUCAGUAAAGCUAAUGAUUUUUAAUAGAGUUCUUAUAUUAUGAAUGUGGUACAGCUAAUGAAAUCUAUCACUAUAUAUUUUGAAGCUGCCUUCUUCUAAUUUUUCUUCUUUCAGUCUGCUGUUUAAAGAUUGAAUAUACAUAUUUUUUUCUGAAAUACUUAUUUUAUUGAUGAUUCAGUAGUUUGUAGUACACAGGAAUACACCAUACAUUAAAUUGAGAUACUGCGCAAUCCGGCAGAUGUAGUUAUCGAGGUAGUUAUUGCGUGCUGUAAAUAUUUCGAGGACUAGUUGAGGAUCCGGCGACGUGGCGUAUUUGUUUCCGCUUGUUGAUUGAGUCGAUGUCGUUCCGUUGGAAGUUUCGCUUGCCUGUUUUUGUGUGCCAUCAUCAGGGCGUCGAUUAUGUCGAUUAUGAUGAUGCAACUGAAAAUGAGAGCAAUAACGAUACACGUUCAUUUCAGCAAAUAUCUUGAAGUCUUACCCGCCGCCGUCACCGCGAACUCCUAAAUCUCCCACGUCAACUGGCGUAAUCCGAGUCAGUAAUCUUGAUUUGCAGUCCGGGAGUCAUCUCCAUGCCAUCCGCUUUCUUUUCCGAGUCGCAGAUCUUCACAAACUUCGAACGACGACGACGCAGACUUCUUCGGGCCAGUAUUUACUUGUCGCAGUAAUACGGUAAUACUACAUUCGCGCUGCUAUCCCCACAAUCGUCGUUAUAUAUCCUGCUAAAAGUAUAACAAAGUGUGAUAUAUGUAGAUAAAUUAAUUGAAAAAAUAUGUAAUAAAAAUGAACAUAAAGUA